GAGUAACCUGCCCUUAACUCUGGGAUAAGCCUGGGAAACUGGGUCUAAUACCGGAUAUGACUCCUCAUCGCAUGGUGGGGGGUGGAAAGCUUUAUUGGGGUUUUGGAUGGACUCGCGGCCUAUCAGCUUGUUGGGGAGGUAAUGGUUUACCAAGGCGACAACGGGUAGCCGGCCUGAAAGGGGGACCGGCCACCCUGGGACUGAAACACGGCCCAAACUCCUACGGGAGGCAGCAGGGGGGAAUAUUGCACAAGGGGCGCAAGCCUGAUGCAGCGCCCCCGCGUGAGGAAUGACGGCCUUCGGGUUGUAAACCUUUUUCAGUAGGGAAAAAGCAAAAGUGACGGUCCCUGCAAAAAAAGCGCCGGCUAACUACGUGCCAGCAGCCGCGGAAAUACGUAGGGCGCAAGCGUUUCCCGGAAUAUUUGGGCGUAAAGAGCUCGUAGGCGGUUUGUCGCGUCUGCCGGGAAAGUCCGGGGUUCAACUCCGAAUCUGCGGGGGGUACGGGGCAAACUAAAGGGAUGUAGGGGAAACUGGAAU
rnacentral:rRNA from 1 species